CUAAACAGAAAGGUUCACUCCAAAGCACCAAAGCAUCGCUUUCUCUGCUUGCCUAUCAGGCCCCAGCUGGUGACACCUGCCCACUGGCCCUGUCUCACCUGACCAAGUAGAGUCCUGUGUCUGCACCUCAUAGCCUCAUUAAUCCCUUAGGUUAAAAAAAAAAAUUAAGCCAAAUUAAGCUGGACAGUUCAGACUAUCAGGGCAAUGAUGGCUUUGUGGACAAGAUGGUGUGCCAGAGAGAGCACCAAAAGCUCAGACUACGUGAAACUUCCAGAGUAGAGUAAGGACAAAUGGAAAGACAGCUGCCAUGUUGUGAAGCCGCCCUGGGGAGAGGUCCACGUAGCAAGGAACUAAGGCUUGCCAGCAGCCACAUAAAUGAGUUUGGAAGCAGAUCUCUGAGGCCUGCCAACCACCAAGUGAGUGAACUUGGAAGCAGAUCUUUCCUCAUUCCAGCCUUGAAAUGACUGAAGCUCCAGCCAACAUCUUGAUUGUAACCUUGCGAAAGAUGUUGAACCAGAACCACCUUGCUGGGCAGCACCUAGAUUCCUUACCUG
rnacentral:lncRNA from 1 species